CCUGCGGCCAUGUAGUUCCGAGUGUGUCCGCUAGAGCGCGCCUCGGGCCCACGCGAUGCUCACCUGUUGUGCAGAUGACAGUCGGCGCACUUUGGCGCGCACUGUGCUUGUGGCGUCGGAUCCUUACUUCUAUUUAUUUUUCUGUUAACUAUAGUAAAUUCAUUUCUCCAAAGAAAAGAAACCACGCACGAAGAUGUUCAGUUCUCAGGUGCACCAAUAAGAAGAAUACUUCAAAGCCUGGUGCAGGCUUAUUUCGUGUUUCAAUCCAAAUCAGAAAGUGCCGGUGCUCUUUGCGGAAACCUUGACCCACUGGAGUUGCCCAAGAUUCUGGAACGAUAACCUGCACCACUAUGCAAUUACAUGUGGAACAAGAACUAACUGACUCCUGUGCUUCAGUGUCAAAUUAAGUGAAUUUCCUGCGACAGAGCAAAGUAAGCAUGACACCUUGGAAUCAGUGCUAAUUGAAUUUCUUUCAGUCAUUUUGGCUUAUUUUUUAAUCAAGGGGUGUUACAGUUAUGGUUGCUGUAUUUUCUUUUCAGUCCAACUGAGAUUCCUCUUUUAAAUAUUUUGUUUUUGAGUCCUGUCCACCAUUUUUGUCUCCAUAUUUUCUGUUGUUCGUGACAAGUCCUAUCGUUUGAUUUUUAAUUUAAAAAGGUCAGUGAAUAAAUACAUUUUUCCUAACAGUU
rnacentral:lncRNA from 1 species